GGGUCACUGCGAGUCGCGCGCCGGCCCCGCCCCCCGCGCGCUGCUGGACGCCGGAGGGCGCCCCCUGCUGGCCGAGGCGCGCUGCUGCACCAUGGAGCACGUGACCAGGGUGCAGCUGACCCUGCGCUGCCCGGGUGGGGCCCGGCGGCUCCGGACGGUGUCAGCGGCGUCCUGCAGGUGCGACCUGUGCCGGGGGGGGCGCUACUGAGCGGAGCGACCGGGACCGCCCCGGAACCGACCGGAACCGCUCCGGGAUGGACCGGAACCGCUCCGGGAUCGACCGGAACCCGCCUGGAAUGGACCGGAACCGACCGGGACCACCCCGGAACCGACCGGAACCGCUCCGGGAUCGACCGGAACCCGCCUGGAAUGGACCAGAACCGACCGGGACCGCCCCCCAGAAAUCCUCUAUUGACCCAAAAACUUUUUAUGGCGCCUAAAAAACCCUUUAAUGACCCCAAAA